GGGCAAUGAAGAAUCUCAGAGACACUGGGAAAAGAGCCCACCAAAACUGAAGACUAACGCUGAGGUCCAGUACCAUGGAAUUAUCCAGUUUGAGAUAUUUAUUCAACACCGACAUCAUCUUGGAGUAUGUGGUUUAUUUAUCUAUUUUGAGAGAGACGAGACACCAUGAGUGGGAAAGUAACAGAGAGAGGGG